rnacentral:rRNA from 1 species
GGACUACAGGGGUAUCUAAUCCUGUUUGCUCCCCACGCUUUCGCACCUCAGCGUCAAUAUUGGCCCAGGUCGCCGCCUUCGCCACUGGUGUUCCUCCCGAUAUCUACGAAUUUCACCUCUACACCGGGAAUUCCGCGACCCUCUUCCAUAUUCAAGCCUGCCAGUUUCGAAUGCACUUCCCGGGUUGAGCCCGGGGCUUUCACAUCCGACUUAACAGGCCGCCUACGUGCGCUUUACGCCCAAUGAUUCCGAGCAACGUUUGCACCCUCCGUAUUACCGCGGCUGCUGGCAC